AGGAAGAUAAUUUAAAUGAAAAUAUCUUGUUUCAAACUAGAAUAUAGACUGAAGUCUUUUUCCUG
rnacentral:tRNA from 1 species